rnacentral:rRNA from 1 species
CUUCCAUCUGGAAGAAUCUGGAGACAGGUGGCUGCAUGGCUGUCGUCAGCUCGUGUCGUGAGAUGUUGGGUUAAGUCCCGCAACGAGCGCAACCCUUGCCUCUAGUUGCCAGCAGUUCGGCUGGGCACUCUAAAGGGACUGCCGGUGUUAAACCGGAGGAAGGUGGGGAUGACGUCAAGUCCUCAUGGCCUUUAUGACCAGGGCUACACACGUACUACAAUGGCCGAUACAAAGGGCAGCGACACUGCGAGGUGAAGCCAAUCCCGUAAAAUCGGUCUCAGUCCGGAUUGGAGUCUGCAACUCGACUCCAUGAAGUUGGAAUCGCUAGUAAUCGUGGAUCAGCAUGCCACGGUGAAUACGUUCCCGGGCCUU